GGGGGGGGGGGGGGGGGGGGUGGGGGGGGGGGGGGGGGCGGGGGGCGGUGGGGGCGGGGUUCUCUCGGUCUGGGUGGCGGAGGGGUGAGUGACGCGGGAUCACCCUGCCCUUCGGAGGGGGACGACAGGUGGAGCCUACUGCUCAUCCCGCAUACGAUCCGACCUCGUCAUCGCGGAUGGAUGACAGUUGGCCUCUCUUUAUACGCUAUCACUGCAGGAGGGGGUUGCGUCUGCUUAGCUAGGUGCUGGGGUACCGGCCCACCAAGGCAAUGAUCAGUAGCCGGUCUGAGAGGCUGAACGGCCACAUUGGGACUGAGACACGGCCCAGACUCCUACGGGAGGCAGCAGUGGGGAAUCUUCCGCAAUGGACGAAAGUCUGACGGAGCAACGCCGCGUGAGUGAUGACGGCCUUCGGGUUGUAAAGCUCUGUUAAGCGGGACGAAAGGUAUUCUUGCGAAGAGUUAGAAGAAUUGACGGUACCGGAAUAGAAAGCCACGGCUAACUACGUG
rnacentral:rRNA from 1 species